rnacentral:rRNA from 1 species
AGAGAGAGACAUGCGCGCAUAUCAAUAAGCGGAGGAAAAGAAACUAACAAGGAUUCCCUUAGUAACGGCGAGUGAAGCGGGAAGAGCUCAAAUUUGAAAUCUUCAAGGUUUUACCUUGACGAAUUGUAGUUUAAAGAAGUGUUUUCUGCUGAAGUUUUGGUAAAAGUUCUUUGGAAUAGGACAUCAUAGAGGGUGAGAAUCCCGUAUUUGACCAUUAUUUUCAGCUUUGUGAUACACUUUCAAAGAGUCGGAUUGUUUGGGAAUGCAGUCCAAAAUGGGUGGUAAAUUUCAUCUAAAGCUAAAUAUUGGCGAGAGACCGAUAGCGAACAAGUACCGUGAGGGAAAGAUGAAAAGAACUUUGAAAAGAGAGUUAAACAGUACGUGAAAUUGUCAAAAGGGAAGCGUUUGACACCAGUGUUGUUUUCUCGAAAAUCAAUUAAAAAUGGCUCGAUUUUGUAUUGCUGAGACCUUAAAAGCUCACUGUACAUUUUUCGUGUCUUUUUUAAUGCACUUUUCGUUUAACAAGUCAACAUCAGUUUCUUUUGUUGUAAAAGGGUCAUUGGAAGGUGGCUUUCUUUUCGGAGAAAGUGUUUAUAGCCUUUGGCCUCUGCAAUCGGAGAGACUGAGGUCUGCAGCGUAGACUCUUCGGGGUUAGAUACAUUUGUGCUAAGUUACUAGCUUUUUAUAGACAACUUGUUGACUAUAAUUAGUCUUGUAGCUUACUCGCUUAUGCUAUUUUACCUACGCUUAGGAUGUUGAAGAUGUAGCACAUCAU